AACAAAAUUUCUAACAUUAUUGGAGAGGAUGAAGAUGAUUAUACAGCAUGUUUUUCCUACAUCAAGCACGGUGCAUGUCUUUCAGUUCUUUGGGGAUUUAUUUCUGAAGAGGUUGCUCAGGCUGCAAAUGAAAAAAUGAGUGCUCUUAGAGAUGAACUGACAACCAACCAAACUGAAAGAUGGCAAGCUAUAGGCAUGUUCAGGCACGUACUCUCUUUUGCCGCUCUGUCGUGGAAACUAAAGAAACAUGCUAUUGACUUCUUGCUUUGCAUUAAUGGGCUUGAAAG
rnacentral:misc_RNA from 1 species